rnacentral:rRNA from 1 species
AGCCGCGGUAAUACAUAGGGGGCGAGCGUUAUCCGGAAUUAUUGGGCGUAAAGGGUGCGUAGGCGGUUUAAUAAGUCUCUAGUUUAAUUUCAACGCUUAACGUUGUCCUGCUAGAGAAACUGUUUGACUAGAGUGAGAUAGAGGUAAGCGGAAUUCCAUGUGUAGCGGUAAAAUGUGUAAAUAUAUGGAGGAACACCAGAGGCGUAGGCGGCUUACUGGGUCUUUACUGACGCUGAUGCACGAAAGCGUGGGGAGCAAACAGGAUUAGAUACCCUGGUAGUCCACGCCGUAAACUAUGAGUACUAAGUGUCGGGGUUAAACUCGGUACUGAAGUUAACACAUUAAGUACUCCGCCUGAGUAGUACGUACGCAAGUAUGAAACUUAAAGGAAUUGACGGGAUCCCGCACAAGCGGUGGAUCAUGUUGUUUAAUUCGAAGAUACACGAAAAACCUUACCAGGUCUUGACAUACUCUGCAAAACUAUAGAAAUAUAGUGGAGGUUAUCAGGGAUACAGGUGGUGCAUGGUUGUCGUCAGCUCGUGUCGUGAGAUGUUAGGUUAAGUUCUAAAACGAGCGCAACCCCUGUCGUUAAUUGCCAGCACGUUAUGGUGGGGACUUUAGCGAGACUGCCAAUGAAAAAUUGGAGGAAGGUGGGGAUUACGUCAAAUCAUCAUGCCCCUUAUGAUCUGGGCUACAAACGUGAUACAAUGGCUAUUACAAAGAGUAGCUGAAACGCGAGUUUUUGGCAAAUCUCAAAAAAAUAGUCCUAGUUCGGAUUGAAGUCUGCAACUCGACUUCAUGAAGUUGGAAUCGCUAGUAAUCGCGAAUCAGCAUGUCGCGGUGAAUACGUUCUCGGGGUUUGUACACACCGCCCGUCAAACCACGAAAGUGGACAAUACCCGAAAGCGAUAGCCUAACUGCGCAAGCAGAGGGAAUCGUCUAAGGUAGGGUCGAUGAUUGGGGUUAAG